GGCCGAACGCUGGCGGCGUGCUUAACACAUGCAAGUCGAACGGAAAGGCCCUGCUUUUGUGGGGUGCUCGAGUGGCGAACGGGUGAGUAACACGUGAGUAACCUGCCCUUGACUUUGGGAUAACUUCAGGAAACUGGGGCUAAUACCGGAUAGGAGCUCCUGCUGCAUGGUGGGGGUUGGAAAGUUUCGGCGGUUGGGGAUGGACUCGCGGCUUAUCAGCUUGUUGGUGGGGUAGUGGCUUACCAAGGCUUUGACGGGUAGCCGGCCUGAGAGGGUGACCGGCCACAUUGGGACUGAGAUACGGCCCAGACUCCUACGGGAGGCAGCAGUGGGGAAUAUUGCACAAUGGGCGGAAGCCUAAUGCAGCAACGCCGCGUGCGGGAUGACGGCCUUCGGGUUGUAAACCGCUUUCGCCUGUGACGAAGCGUGAGUGACGGUAAUGGGUAAAGAAGCACCGGCUAACUACGUG
rnacentral:rRNA from 1 species